rnacentral:tRNA from 1 species
GGAGAGGUGGCUGAGCGGCUGAAAGCGGCGGAUUGCUAAUCCGCUAUACGGGUUAAAAUCCGUAUCGAGGGUUCGAAUCCCUCCCUCUCCGCAA